rnacentral:rRNA from 1 species
UACAUAGGGUGCAAGCGUUAAUCGGAAUUACUGGGCGUAAAGCGUGCGUAGACGGUUAUGUAAGUCAGGUGUGAAAGCCCCGGGCUCAACCUGGGAAUUGCAUUUGAGACUGCAUAGCUAGGGUGCGGAAGAGGGAAGCGGAAUUUCCGGUGUAGCGGUGAAAUGCGUAGAUAUCGGAAGGAACAUCAGUGGCGAAAGCGGCUUCCUGGUCCAGCACCGACGUUCAGGCACGAAAGCGUGGGGAGCAAACAGG